UUGAAAAGGGAACCCUUCGGGGUUCAACCUUAAACCCUAUGUCUUAAUUACCUGUUUCUUUGGCGGGCUUGCCCGUCAGAAGUUUUCUCAAACCCAUUAUAAAUGUGUCAUCUGAAUAACAAACUAAAUAAAUUA
rnacentral:misc_RNA from 1 species